AGUGAACGCUGGCGGUAGGCCUAACACAUGCAAGUCGAACGGCAGCACAGUAAGAGCUUGCUCUUACGGGUGGCGAGUGGCGGACGGGUGAGGAAUACAUCGGAAUCUACUUUUUCGUGGGGGAUAACGUAGGGAAACUUACGCUAAUACCGCAUACGACCUACGGGUGAAAGCAGGGGAUCUUCGGACCUUGCGCGAUUGAAUGAGCCGAUGUCGGAUUAGCUAGUUGGCGGGGUAAAGGCCCACCAAGGCGACGAUCCGUAGCUGGUCUGAGAGGAUGGUCAGACACACUGGAACUGAGACACGGUCGAGACUCCUACGGGAGGCAGCAGUGGGGAAGAUUGGACAAUGGGUGAAAGUAUGAUACAGUAUUGCCGCGGGAGUGAAGAAGGUCUUCGGAUUGUCAAUAACUUUAAGUGGGGAGGAAGGGCAGGAAGGGAAUACCUUGAGGUCAGGACGUGAGAAAAAGAAGAAGAACCGGCUAACCUAGUG
rnacentral:rRNA from 1 species